ACUGGAGAGGGGGGUCCCUCAGCCAGGAUUGCGAGAGGGCCAGGCCAGGCCAAGGGACCCCACUUGUGCACG
rnacentral:pre_miRNA from 1 species